GCUGGCGGCAGGCCUAACACAUGCAAGUCGAACGGAGUUAUAUNGNANNCNNGCUAUGGUAUAACUUAGUGGCAGACGGGUGAGUAAUGUAUAGGAAUCUACCUAGUAGUACGGAAUAAUUGUUGGAAACGGCAACUAAUACCGUAUACGCCCUACGGGGGAAAAAUUUAUUGCUAUUAGAUGAGCCUAUAUUAGAUUAGCUAGUUGGUGGAGUAAUAGCCUACCAAGGCAAUGAUCUAUAGCUGAUCUGAGAGGAUGAUCAGCCACACUGGAACUGAGAUACGGUCCAGACUCCUACGGGAGGCAGCAGUGGGGAAUAUUGGACAAUGGGCGAAAGCCUGAUCCAGCCAUGCCGCAUGAGUGAAGAAGGCCUUUGGGUUGUAAAGCUCUUUUAGUGAGGAAGAUAAUGACGGUACUCACAGAAGAAGUCCUGGCUAACUCCGUGCCAGCAGCCGCGGUAAUACGGAGAGGGCUAGCGUUAUUCGGAAUUAUUGGGCGUAAAGGGCGCGUAGGCGGAUUAGUAAGUUAAAAGUGAAAUCCCAAGGCUCAACCUUGGAAUUGCUUUUAAAACUGCUAAUCUAGAGAUUGAAAGAGGAUAGAGGAAUUCCUAGUGUAGAGGUGAAAUUCGUAAAUAUUAGGAGGAACACCAGUGGCGAAGGCGUCUAUCUGGUUCAAAUCUGACGCUGAGGCGCGAAGGCGUGGGGAGCAAACAGGAUUAGAUACCCUGGUAGUCCACCCUGUAAACGAUGAAUGUUAAAUAU
rnacentral:rRNA from 1 species